rnacentral:rRNA from 1 species
UUAAGCGACUAAGCGUACACGGUGGAUGCCCUGGCAGUCAGAGGCGAUGAAGGACGUGCUAAUCUGCGAUAAGCGUCGGUAAGGUGAUAUGAACCGUUAUAACCGGCGAUUUCCGAAUGGGGAAACCCAGUGUGAUUCGUCACACUAUCAUUAACUGAAUCCAUAGGUUAAUGAGGCGAACCGGGGGAACUGAAACAUCUAAGUACCCCGAGGAAAAGAAAUCAACCGAGAUUCCCCCAGUAGCGGCGAGCGAACGGGGAGCAGCCCAGAGCCUGAAUCAGUGUGUGUGUUAGUGGAAGCGUCUGGAAAGGCGCGCGAUACAGGGUGACAGCCCCGUACACAAAAAUGCACAUACUGUGAGCUCGAUGAGUAGGGCGGGACACGUGGUAUCCUGUCUGAAUAUGGGGGGACCAUCCUCCAAGGCUAAAUACUCCUGACUGACCGAUAGUGAACCAGUACCGUGAGGGAAAGGCGAAAAGAACCCCGGCGAGGGGAGUGAAAAAGAACCUGAAACCGUGUACGUACAAGCAGUGGGAGCACGCUUCGGCGUGUGACUGCGUACCUUUUGUAUAAUGGGUCAGCGACUUAUAUUCUGUAGCAAGGUUAACCGAAUAGGGGAGCCGAAGGGAAACCGAGUCUUAACUGGGCGUUAAGUUGCAGGGUAUAGACCCGAAACCCGGUGAUCUAGCCAUGGGCAGGUUGAAGGUUGGGUAACACUAACUGGAGGACCGAACCGACUAAUGUUGAAAAAUUAGCGGAUGACUUGUGGCUGGGGGUGAAAGGCCAAUCAAACCGGGAGAUAGCUGGUUCUCCCCGAAAGCUAUUUAGGUAGCGCCUCGUGAAUUCAUCUCCGGGGGUAGAGCACUGUUUCGGCAAGGGGGUCAUCCCGACUUACCAACCCGAUGCAAACUGCGAAUACCGGAGAAUGUUAUCACGGGAGACACACGGCGGGUGCUAACGUCCGUCGUGAAGAGGGAAACAACCCAGACCGCCAGCUAAGGUCCCAAAGUCAUGGUUAAGUGGGAAACGAUGUGGGAAGGCCCAGACAGCCAGGAUGUUGGCUUAGAAGCAGCCAUCAUUUAAAGAAAGCGUAAUAGCUCACUGGUCGAGUCGGCCUGCGCGGAAGAUGUAACGGGGCUAAACCAUGCACCGAAGCUGCGGCAGCGACACUAUGUGUUGUUGGGUAGGGGAGCGUUCUGUAAGCCUGUGAAGGUGUGCUGUGAGGCAUGCUGGAGGUAUCAGAAGUGCGAAUGCUGACAUAAGUAACGAUAAAGCGGGUGAAAAGCCCGCUCGCCGGAAGACCAAGGGUUCCUGUCCAACGUUAAUCGGGGCAGGGUGAGUCGACCCCUAAGGCGAGGCCGAAAGGCGUAGUCGAUGGGAAACAGGUUAAUAUUCCUGUACUUGGUGUUACUGCGAAGGGGGGACGGAGAAGGCUAUGUUGGCCGGGCGACGGUUGUCCCGGUUUAAGCGUGUAGGCUGGUUUUCCAGGCAAAUCCGGAAAAUCAAGGCUGAGGCGUGAUGACGAGGCACUACGGUGCUGAAGCAACAAAUGCCCUGCUUCCAGGAAAAGCCUCUAAGCAUCAGGUAACAUCAAAUCGUACCCCAAACCGACACAGGUGGUCAGGUAGAGAAUACCAAGGCGCUUGAGAGAACUCGGGUGAAGGAACUAGGCAAAAUGGUGCCGUAACUUCGGGAGAAGGCACGCUGAUAUGUAGGUGAAGUCCCUUGCGGAUGGAGCUGAAAUCAGUCGAAGAUACCAGCUGGCUGCAACUGUUUAUUAAAAACACAGCACUGUGCAAACACGAAAGUGGACGUAUACGGUGUGACGCCUGCCCGGUGCCGGAAGGUUAAUUGAUGGGGUUAGCGCAAGCGAAGCUCUUGAUCGAAGCCCCGGUAAACGGCGGCCGUAACUAUAACGGUCCUAAGGUAGCGAAAUUCCUUGUCGGGU